AAGGACUUGUAGACACCAAUAUCUGUUUGAGUUUCAUUGUAAAGCCUGGUAUAAAAAUGAUGUCAGAAGAAUGGUUUGCUGGAUUAUUUAAAAGCCUGCAUACACCAUUUACAAGGUGCUGUACAUGGCUCUAGGCAUGCACUGGAGAGCAAAGAAUAUAUACUCGCUGCCCUUGAGAAGCUUCUGAUCCAGAGGGAGAAAAGACAACUCUUUAUUGAGACGUUUACCCCUCAUUCUUGAAGAUCUGUCACCCACCGGUGCCAUAGCUACAUGUCAGUUCUCC